AGGCCGGGACAGUAUGACUGCCCCUUUCUUUCUUUUAAAAACGUUCCUAAGAUUCAGUGUUAGGCAGACCUCGUACUUAAUAUUCUGUGUCGGCGGCCAGGUUUAAUUCUUCUAAUUAAGAACAGCAUCAAUUUCUUUGCCGAAAUUGGCUUUAAGAAGUACUUUUUCACAGCUGUAACCGUGGGUACUCAUGUGUAAGGUACUAUUACUACUACACUCAAAGUCUGAAGACCUCCCCAAGAGUGAGAAUUCAGAGUCUUGAGUUCCUAACUUACAUCAAACAUUUGCUGUACAGAUAUCUAUGAUUUUCUGCUACACAUAGUGAGGAGGGUACUUCCAAAAAAUUCAUGGAAAAAAGGGAAUUAAAACAAAAGUUUUUUGGUGCAAAAAGAUUUUGAAAUCCAGGCAUAGUUGUUUUUUAUAAUACAAAUUUUCCAUCCAUUUUUUGAAGUACUGUUGUACACAUAAGAUUUACAUGUGAUUUCUGAAUAGUUUCCAACUAUUACUAUGGAGAUUUUUUUGGUUUAUAUUUCUACUUUUAAAAAUACGUUUAUUAAAUAAGCUUUGAUCACAGCUCUUCUUUGCUCCAUUUUCCCUUAAGGCUGCCAGUACUGGCCCCUUUACAUACUCUUCCUAUUUUUGUUGUGAUAAUUAUUUACAAGGGAUGACAUUUGCUCCCCCACAAAAAAAUUACUACUCUCACCUCAUACAAACUUGGAUGACCAAAAUUCAGUGUAAGGUGAUUGUGUAAUGGAUUAUCAACAUAGUAGAGGAAACAUCUCAGUUUGAAAAAGUGAAGUUUUCCUGCAGCACAAAAAUUCUUUAAAUAGUGACCCUAGGAGUGGGGGCCUCAUUCUGUUUUAGUUGAAGGAAAUCUAAGUUCAUUUCAAGGCAUUCGAAAUGGGGAAAGACUAUUAUUGCAUUUUGGGAAUUGAAAAAGGAGCUUCAGAUGAAGAUAUUAAAAAGGCUUACCGAAAACAAGCCCUCAAAUUUCAUCCGGACAAGAACAAAUCUCCUCAGGCAGAGGAAAAAUUUAAAGAGGUCGCAGAAGCUUAUGAAGUGUUGAGUGAUCCUAAAAAGAGAGAAAUAUAUGAUCAGUAUGGGGAGGAAGGGUUGAAAGGAGGCGCAGGAGGUACUGAUGGACAAGGAGGUACCUUCCGGUACACGUUUCAUGGCGAUCCACAUGCCACAUUUGCUGCAUUUUUCGGAGGUUCCAAUCCCUUUGAAAUUUUCUUUGGCAGACGGAUGGGUGGUGGUAGAGAUUCUGAAGAAAUGGAAAUAGAUGGAGAUCCUUUCAGUGCCUUUGGAUUCAGCAUGAAUGGUUACCCAAGAGACAGGAAUUCUGUGGGGCCAUCCCGCCUCAAACAAGAUCCUCCGGUUAUUCAUGAACUCAGAGUAUCACUUGAAGAAAUAUAUAGUGGUUGUACCAAACGGAUGAAGAUUUCUCGGAAAAGGUUGAACCCUGAUGGAAGGAGUUACAGAUCUGAGGACAAAAUUCUCACCAUUGAGAUUAAAAAAGGGUGGAAAGAAGGCACCAAAAUUACUUUUCCAAGGGAAGGAGAUGAAACACCAAAUAGUAUUCCAGCAGAUAUUGUUUUCAUUAUUAAAGACAAAGAUCACCCAAAAUUUAAAAGAGAUGGAUCAAAUAUAAUUUAUAAUGCUAAAAUUAGUUUACGGGAGGCAUUGUGUGGCUGCUCAAUUAAUGUGCCAACAAUGGAUGGAAGAAACAUACCUAUGUCAAUAAAUGAUAUUGUGAAACCUGGAAUGAGAAGAAGAAUUAUUGGAUACGGGCUGCCAUUUCCAAAAAAUCCAGACCAACGUGGUGAUCUUCUAAUAGAAUUUGAUGUGUCCUUCCCAGAUACUAUAUCCUCAUCAUCCAAAGAAGUACUUAGGAAACAUCUUCCUGCCUCAUAGAAUGAAGAACUUUGUUACCCAUAUUUUGAUAAGGCACUGAAAAUAUAAAAGGACUGGCAGUUUACUGAUGUAGAUGUGAAUUCUGUAUAAAGAUGUGCAAAUUCUUUUGAGGGCUCAUUAAGUUGCAUGAACAGAGACGGGUCAAAUAAAUAGGGCAAAAGGGAUUUUUACAGUUAGAGAUGAAGAGAGAACCAUUCACUGUAUUUUAUUUCAUUUCUCCCAAAUCAGAAAUUUUUAGUCUUUUGCUUAUAUGUGAAGAUGUUAGAUAUAUUUCUAAAAAAAGUACUAGACUAUCCAAGUACUUUAUUCCUUAUAUCUUUAGAUAAUCAAUAUGAUAGGCUCCCAUUUAUAAUGGAAAUUAAAAUUCUUAGCUAAACAAUACAAUAGAAGGGAUUAAAAACCCAGUCAUUUGGACAUGUGGUUGUUAAAUUUAAACCACCUGAAAUGCGGCUAUAGGGCUGGUACUGGUAAAAGAAUAUCCUGAUGCUUAUGUUUCACCAUUUGGUUUUUAAAGUAUGCUAUGCCAUUUCCUCACGUAGUGGUCAUGUUCUUAAGGUAGACCUUUUCUUCAUACAAAGAAAAUUAAUGGCAAUUUAUCUCCUGUGGAAAUCCCAAUUGCCUGAAUUACUGAUAUUUUAGAAUAGACUCUUUAUAAAAUGCCAAAUGUAAUUUUAUGCAAGUUAACUAUAUAUCUUGAACUUAAUAACGUAUAGGCUCAUUUUGUUGUCCACUAGUUUAAAAUAAUUUGUUUAAUAAUAAAUGUGUUUUUGGAAGACAUAAUGUUUCUUGGAAUUAAUUUUCCAAUUACACAGUCUUCUAUAGCUUACUCAUAAUAUGCUAUAUGUUCCUUAUAUAAUUUCCCUAAAAAGAAUAAACUUACCACUAUGGUUUUAACCAAAAUAUGGGGAAUAUAAAUACUAACUGCUGCUUAUGGAUAAUGUUGCAACUACUUGUUAUGCCUAUAAAUAUUUUACUUUUUCAUAUGUAUAGAUUGCAUUUCUUAGGUGUUUUAAUUUUUUAAAUAUAUUCACAUUUAAAAAAUA